GAACAAGAAGGGGAUCUGGCUAUAACAUUUGAGCCCCAUCAAAGAGCAAGGAUCGUUGCACUCUUUUGGCUACUCAGAUAGGUGGUCCCUUCUUCCCCCUUGGCUUCAAAUGUGUCCUUCCAAUGCUCACUCAUGGGAGGUGACCUUAUCUGUUGGAGGAGGGCCACUUUCCUAUCAAUAGUCAUUGGGCGUAUUCCCACCAGAAUUUCUUAACAAGUCCUUGAGGUCUUGAAACUUUUUUAGGACUGAAG
rnacentral:sRNA from 1 species